AUUGAACGCUGGCGGCAGGCCUAACACAUGCAAGUCGAACGAGUAGCGGACGGGUGCGUAAUGUCUGGGGACCUGCCCGAUGGAUGGGGAUAACUACUGGAAACGGUAGCUCAUACCGCAUACCAUCGGAGGUGCCCAGAUGGGAUGAGCUAGUAGGUGGGGUAACGGCUCACCAAGGCGACGAUCCGUAGCUGGUCUGAGAGGAUGACCAGACAAACUGGAACUUAGACACGGGCCAGAAGCCUACGGGAGGCAGCAGGGGGGAAUAUGGCAAAAUGGGCGCAAGCCUGAUGCAGCCAUGCCGCGUGUAUGAAGAAGGCCUUCGGGUUGUAAAGGACUGGCAGCGAGGAGGCGUUACGCGCAGAAGAAGCAUCGGCUAACUCCGUGCCAGCAGCCGCGGUAAUAC
rnacentral:rRNA from 1 species